AUUGAACGCUGGCGGCAGGCCUAACACAUGCAAGUCGGGCGAGCGGCGGACGGGUGAGUAAUGUAUGGGGAUCUGCCUGAUGGAGGGGGAUAACUACUGGAAACGGUAGCUAAUACCGCAUACCAUCAGAUGAACCCAUAUGGGAUUAGCUAGUAGGUGAGGUAACGGCUCACCUAGGCGACGAUCCCUAGCUGGUCUGAGAGGAUGAUCAGCCACACUGGGACUGAGACACGGCCCAGACUCCUACGGGAGGCAGCAGUAGGGAAUCUUCGACAAUGGACGAAAGUCUGACCGAGCAACGCCGCGUGAGUGAAGAAGGUUUUCGGGUCGUAAAGCACUGUUGGUAGAGAAGCGGUAUCUAACGAAAAAGCAACGGCUAACUACGUGCCAGCAGCCGCGGUAAUAC
rnacentral:rRNA from 1 species